rfam:Schistosoma haematobium scaffold797_14, whole genome shotgun sequence.
AGCCUCCUGAAUCCAAGCUGAGAUUUCUUCAGACGCCAAACCAUUAGUACUGAUGAAACUCCCAAAAUAAAUGGAGCG